GAUGAACGCUAGCGGCAGGCUUAAUACAUGCAAGUCGAGGGGCAGCAUGAUUGUAGCAAUACAAUUGAUGGCGACCGGCAAACGGGUGCGGAACACGUACACAACCUUCCAAUAAGUGGGGAAUAGCCCAGAGAAAUUUGGAUUAAUACCCCGUAACAUAACGAUGUGGCAUCACAUUGUUAUUAUAGAUUUUUCGCUUAUUGAUGGGUGUGCGGCUGAUUAGAUAGUUGGCGGGGUAACGGCCCACCAAGUCUACGAUCAGUAGCUGAUGUGAGAGCAUGAUCAGCCACACGGGCACUGAGACACGGGCCCGACUCCUACGGGAGGCAGCAGUAAGGAAUAUUGGACAAUGGACGCAAGUCUGAUCCAGCCAUGCCGCGUGAAGGAUUAAGGUCCUCUGGAUUGUAAACUUCUUUUAUAAGGGACGAAAAAAGGCUUUUCUAAGUCGUCUGACGGUACCUUAUGAAUAAGCACCGGCUAACUCCGUGCCAGCCGCCGCGGUAACAC
rnacentral:rRNA from 1 species